rnacentral:rRNA from 1 species
CCCUUAGAUGUUCUGGGCUGCACGCGCGCUACACUGAUGCGAUCAACAAGUUUUUCCUAUGUCGAUGGACACGGGUAAUCUUUUGAACUCGCAUCGUGAUGGGGAUAGAUUAUUGUAAUUAUUAAUCUUCAACGAGGAAUUCCUAGUAGGUGCAAAUCAUCAGUUUGCAUCGAUUACGUCCCUGCCCUUUGUACACACCGCCCGUCGCUGCUACCGAUUGGUUGAUCUGGUGAAUUAUUCGGACUGCCGGCUGAAGGGGUUUCCUCAUCUGCCAGCGGAAAGUCUUGUUAACCCUAUCAACUAGAGGAAGCAGAAGUCGUAACA